UACGUAGGGGGCAAGCGUUAUCCGGAUUUACUGGGUAUAAAGGGUGCGUAGGUGGUUUCUUAAGUCAGAGGUGAAAGGCUACGGCUCAACCGUAGUAAGCCUUUGAAACUGGGGAACUUGAGUGCAGGAGAGGAGAGUGGAAUUCCUAGUGUAGCGGUGAAAUGCGUAGAUAUUAGGAGGAACACCAGUUGCGAAGGCGGCUCUCUGGACUGUAACUGACACUGAGGCACGAAAGCGUGGGGAGCAAACAGG
rnacentral:rRNA from 1 species